CCACGGCGAACGGGUGAGUAAUACCUAGGAACGUACCCUUAGUUGAGCAUAACCUGCCGAAAGGCAGGAUAAUUCUCGAUGUGAUCGCAAGAUUAAAGUCGCAAGACGCUAAGAGAUCGGCCUGGGCACCAUCAGCUUGUUGGUAAGGUAACGGCUUACCAAGGCUAUGACGGUUAGGGGCCCCGAGAGGGGAGACCCCCACACUGGAACUGCGACACGGUCCAGACUCCUACGGGAGGCAGCAGUUUGGAAUUUUGGACAAUGGGCGAAAGCCUGAUCCAGCGACGCCGCGUGGACGAUGAAGGCCUUCGGGUUGUAAAGUCCUUUUUUCAGGGACGAAUUUUUGACGGUACCUGAAGAAUAAGAGGUUGCUAACUCUGUGCCAGCAGCAGCGGUAAUACAGAGACCUCAAGCGUUAUCCGGAAUCAUUGGGCGUAAAGCGUACCGAUAGGUGGUCUAGAAAGCCAAAAGUGAAAUCUCCGAGCUCAACUCGGAAUCUGUCUUUUGGAACUUCUCGACUAGAGGGGCAAAGAGGAAGCUGGAACGAACGGUGUAGUAGUGAAAUGCGUUGAUAUCGUUCGGAACACCAAUAGCGAAGGCAGGCUUCUGGGUGCCACC
rnacentral:rRNA from 1 species